UAAGGAAUAUUGGUCAAUGGACGCAAGUCUGAACCAGCCAUGCCGCGUGAAGGAUGAAGGUCCUCUGGAUUGUAAACUUCUUUUAUCUGGGACGAAACACUGGUUUUCUAACCAGCUUGACGGUACCAGAGGAAUAAGCACCGGCUAACUCCGUGCCAGCAGCCGCGGUAAUACGGAGGGUGCAAGCGUUAUCCGGAUUCACUGGGUUUAAAGGGUGCGUAGGCGGGUAAGUAAGUCCGUGGUGAAAUCCUGCAGCUUAACUGCAGAACUGCCGUGGAUACUAUUUAUCUUGAAUAUCGUGGAGGUUAGUGGAAUAGGUCAUGUAGCGGUGAAAUGCUUAGAGAUGACAUGGAACACCGAUUGCGAAGGCAGCUGGCUACACGAUAAUUGACGCUGAGGCACGAAAGCGUGGGUAGCAAACAGGAUUAGAUACCCGUGUAGUCC
rnacentral:rRNA from 1 species